UAACAAGAGGCAGCUUUAUAUCUGUUUAUUGUAAAGAAGGCGAAGCAAACUGCAGGCUGGGGACAGGCCGUGGGAUGUUUACUGUCAAUACAGCAGGAGAGAGAAAGGAAAUAUAAGGAGCAGAGGCCCUGGACUGCAACCCAAAUGGGUGAUCUGAAUGUAAACAUAGCAGUACAGCUACAGAAGGAAAAGGAAUUAGGUGUCGUGGGUUUGCAAGGCAAGGAAGGCUGCAGACCAAAAGCUGGAAGUGGUUCUGAAACACCCAGCGCCAAGCAAGAGAAUAAAAUUUAAAUUUUGGAGCACAAGGAAGAACAUCUUACCAUGAAACCAUUCACAGAAGAAGAUGUGGAAUUUUACAUCCAGAAUAAGGUGGAACAGCGACACCACCUGGUGUCUAAGACAGUGGAUGAGGUGCAGAAGAUCAUCCAACAGCUGACCGCAGAAAUCAGCUACAGGGACACGCGAUUUCAGGCCAUCUCUAACUCUGGUGUGCACAACGAGAAUUUUAGGGAUCAGCCAGCUUUACUGGCCAAGUGGUCCGCUCUGCUUCGGGGGAAACGCCCAUUCCACCCAUCUGUCCAGGUCUUAGCACCCAGCCACUUCCUCAUCACAGUCCCACUGCGCGGCCUGACAGGGUACCGGGAGCACCAGGUACGGCACUGGCGGUAUUACACCGUGCAUGGGGCAAAGCUCCUUUCCCCAGUACGGGACCCAGAGGAGCUGCAGCAGUGGCUGGAGGUGGAGCAGUUCUCAAAGAGCCUGCAGCAGUGGCAUGAGACAGAGGUGAACAUCGAAGGUGAUCUCGUUCCAGCCAAGAUCCUUGCCAUCUUCAGGGAGUUGAUGGAGAAGUCAAUUACCUCCUGUAACCUCUCCAGUAAAGUCAGCAUUCUGGAGAGUUUCAGCUCGGUGGUUCGAGUUGCUGUGGAGACACCAGACUCCCAGGUAGAGGUGGAGCUGGUCCCUACUGUGGAAAUCCCAACCUGCUGGCCUGAGAGAGCCCGGUGGCCCCGCUGCUUCAAGCGCUGGCCUUCCCAGGAGAAAGUGCAGUGCAUCAAGUCAUUUGGCUUUAAUCUCCUGGCCCGCUCCAAUUACCACUGGCAGCUGGGCUUUUCCCGAGCUGAGCGCAUGCUGAUAGAGGGCCUUGACGAGGACGGUGGCUGCCGCAUGAAGUGCUUCCGAGUCAUAAGACAAAUGAAGGAGGAUGUCUGGUGUACAGGAAAUAAGCCAAUCCUGACGACCUAUCACCUACAGGUGUGUAUAGCAGGCAAGAGUGGUGAGGUCAGCAGAGAGGAGUUUAGGGCGGGGUGGGGGAAUAUACAGUUGUCAGGAGAGAGCAGCAACCAAACAGAGUCUUUGCUGUGGGACCCCUGUAGCAACAAUUGUAAUACAAUAAUUGUAUAGCGCCCCCUAGCUAACACCGAAGGUAACGACCCUCACCACAUUACUCUCUUUUCCUUACAUGGUGUGAGAAUUGUUGUUUAUCUACAUUCCAUACAAAAAGAUUAUGUUAAAAGAACACUAUGGUUGCACGGUUACAGGUAAACACACAAAAGUCAGGCAGUCUCAGAGUUAAGGCUGCCCAUGUUACCUUAAGUCCACAUAUGCAUUACAAUACAGUUUUCAACUGCAUGAUCACACACUAUUUCUUGACCAAUAUCAUAUAUUCUACUCUAUUUUCCCUGCUACAACCUAAUCCACUUUGCAUUUCUACUGAGACUUCUGUCUGAGGAGCUCAAAGUUUUUACCCGGUCAUGCUCACAACACCCUCUCUGAGGUAGCAAGGUAGGUACCAAGAUGGUGCUGUUCUGGACAUGUGAGAAGUACCCGCGCACCAAGGACUGGCGCUGCUUCC